UUUCAUUAAAACUAGCUUUCGAGUGAGACUGUUAUUACGAUCUACCUAUACAUUCGGAGUCCGAUGAUCAAAAUUCUUUUUCUCAUUUGUUUGUUAAUUCAAUUAGGUCAUAUUGAACGGUCAGAAUGAUAAAAUUCGAAAUCUCCAAUAAAAAUCGGUAUUUUAGUAAAACUUCAUGACCCUUUUAUUAAAACUAGCUUUCCAGUGAGACUGUUAUUACGAUCUACCUAUACAUCCGGAGUCCGAUG
rnacentral:lncRNA from 1 species